CCCCCCCCGGGUUUCACACCUCUUGUUGUUUUCCUUUCCGCUGCAUUUUUGUUACAGCGUUGUUUCUUUUAAUUUUAAUUAUUAAACUGUUCUUAUCUCAA